GGUUGCGAUCAUACCAGCACUAAUGCACCGGAUUCCAUCAGAACUCCCCAGUUAAGCGUGCUUGGGAGAGAGUAGUACUAGGAUGGGUGACCCCCUGGGAAGUCCUCGUGUUGCAACCC
rnacentral:rRNA from 1 species